rnacentral:rRNA from 1 species
GUAAUGGCUUACCAAGGCAAUGAUCAGUAGCUGGUCUGAGAGGAUGAUCAGCCACACUGGGACUGAGACACGGCCCAGACUCCUACGGGAGGCAGCAGUGAGGAAUUUUCCGCAAUGGGCGAAAGCCUGACGGAGCAAUGCCGCGUGAAGGAUGAAGGCCUAUGGGUUGUAAACUUCUUUUCUCAGAGAAGAAUAUUGACGGUAUCUGAGGAAUAAGCAUCGGCUAACUCUGUGCCAGCAGCCGCGGUAAGACAGAGGAUGCAAGCGUUAUCCGGAAUGAUUGGGCGUAAAGCGUCUGUAGGUGGCUUCAAAAGUCUCCUGUCAAAGAUCAGGGCUUAACCCUGGGCCGGCAGGAGAAACUCUGAGGCUAGAGUUUGGUAGGGGCAGAGGGAAUUCCCGGUGGAGCGGUGAAAUGCGUAGAGAUCGGGAGGAACACCAAAGGCGAAAGAC